CCGGCAUCCCCAGUCCACUUUGGACAUAAGGAAGUCCCAGACACCCUUUAUUCACUCUCGGGGGUUUCCUCUUCCAGAUGUGAGCAUUGAUCGUGCUUUGGAAUUGUUUGAGCAGCACAGUCGGGAGGAAUAUGGGCAGGGUUCUGAAUAGGUAUAGGAUGUGUGGCAGUGUCAUCAUUUUAAUUAGGUUGAUACGUCCGAGCCAUGAGGUAUCCAUGUUAGCCCACUGUUCGAGGGAGGAUUUGAUUUUCUUUAGCACGGGGUAGUGAUUUUCUUUGGUCACCGUUUGGAGGGAUUUGGUGAGGUUUACACCUAAG